CGAAUUAAAUUUGGUUAAUAAUGCCGCUAGGGGAAGUUCUGUUUUUGUUAUUUACGCGUUACCAUAGCAACAUUUGAAAAUUUGAAUUUGAAAUAGAUUUUUUCAUCAAAAUCGGAAAAUGAGCUGCUUAAAAAGACAUUCUCCUCAGAGGUUUAAAGGAACUCACUGUGAUGUCAUUAAUUUGUUCGAAAAUGGAGUUUUUAGGAAAUUAAUUAUUCCUCGACCUGAACCAACUAUUAAAACUACUAUACUGACUGCUAGUGAAUUAAAAAACAUACAGCAAAAUGCUUUUUAUAUAUCUCCAGAGCUGAGAAAAAUCAAAGAAGAUGAAAGGAAAAAAUUCAGAGAUGCA